rnacentral:sRNA from 1 species
AUCGAUAUGUGAACAUAUCUAGCACGACGGCAGCAACAAAACCACGAAUUAAUUUUUACAAAAUUAAUGCCAAACGCGCAUCGAAAAUGCCUGGAAAGUGCGACUAAAUGCACGCGAAAAGUAAGGGAGCGCGAACGCGAGUGAAUCAAGUGAAAAUACAGCGGCAAAUAUCAGCGAAUUGCCAUUGGGUGGCAAGGAGAAACGGAGAAAAAGAAGAAAAGCAAUAAGUGCCGUGUGUGGGAAACGCGAAAAAGGCGAGAACAAAGAGGCGAAAAGCGAGGAAAUUGCGUGGAAAACGUGGAAAACGCGAAGGAGCUAAGCUCCAAGUUGGCCGCCAUCGAUUCGUGCGUAGGAUCAAUUAAGAUUCCGUGAGGCCGAGAAUCGGCUCAAAUCAAAUUGAAAUCAACUAAUAUUUUGGUAUUCAGAUAUUCAAAUGGAAUUCAUUCAUCGCCUGCGACUUUUAUUCGGAUCUGCCAACUAUUUUCGAAUUUGAAUUGUGUCUGCGGCUGGCGCAGAAUCUCUGAUAAAGCGGACGAA